CCUACGGGAGGCAGCAGUGGGGAAUAUUGGACAAUGGGCGAAAGCCUGAUCCAGCCAUGCCGCGUGUGUGAAGAAGGUCUUCGGAUUGUAAAGCACUUUAAGUUGGGAGGAAGGACAUUAACCUAAUACGUUGGUGUUUUGACGUUACCGACAGAAUAAGCACCGGCUAACUCUGUGCCAGCAGCCGCGGUA
rnacentral:rRNA from 1 species